rnacentral:rRNA from 1 species
UACGUAGGGUCCGAGCGUUGUCCGGAAUUACUGGGCGUAAAGAGCUCGUAGGUGGUUUGUCGCGUUGUUCGUGAAAACUCACAGCUUAACUGUGGGCGUGCGGGCGAUACGGGCAGACUAGAGUACUGCAGGGGAGACUGGAAUUCCUGGUGUAGCGGUGGAAUGUGCAGAUAUCAGGAGGAACACCGGUGGCGAAGGCGGGUCUCUGGGCAGUAACUGACGCUGAGGAGCGAAAGCGUGGGGAGCGAACAGG